rnacentral:tRNA from 1 species
CGGGAUAUAGCGCAGCUUGGUAGCGCGCCUGCUUUGGGAGCAGGAUGACGCAGGUUCAAAUCCUGCUAUCCCGAC